AAAAACUUGCAUGCAAUUUUAUUCUCAACAGGCUUAUAUUUAAACCACUUGCUAUCCUACAGAAGAAAAGAAAGAUAUUAUGUGAAAUGGAACAGGUACAAUAGACAUUGUAAAGUGCUUUUGAUACAAAUUUAGUGAGGUCUUUAUUAUGGACUUCAAAUUUUAUGUACCAAGCUCCCCACUUUUUACUUCAUCCAAACAGGGCGUUAGACAAGGGUCAUUUAUACAACACAUUUUGCACAUAUUGUCUGAGAUAAUCUUCUUUUCUGUAGAUUCAGAGUUCAUAAAUAAGUAAAAGAACUAGAUAAAGGCAUAGAAACACAAAUAUUGACACAUGAAAACCUGUCAGAUAGAAAGUCAGGAUGCCAUUUAUGCAUCAAUAUUGAAAAAGCUAUAAAUGCCUAUUUUGACCAUAAAAUGCCAAAAUUGGUCAUUUUUGCAGAAAUUCUAUAAAAUAAAAGUUUAAAUCCUUUAGUUUCAUGCUAUUUGACAGAUUGACACCAUCAAAUCAUU
rnacentral:lncRNA from 1 species